rnacentral:lncRNA from 1 species
GAUUGUGAAGCUAAUGACAAUCUAUUGUGAAGAGACAGUGUCCUUCAGAUUUUUCAAAGUCACAACAUAAUCGAUUGUGAGCUUAUGACAAUCGAUUGUGUUGAGGCAGUGACUUCCAGACUUUUUCAAAACUAUUAAAUAAUCGAUUGUGAGUUUAUAACAAUCGAUUGUCAAGAGGCAGUGUCUAAAAUUAUUUUCAAAAACUGAU